UCAGGACGAACGCUGGCGGCGUGCCUAACACAUGCAAGUCGAGCGAGGAGAUUCCUUCGGGAUGAUCCUAGCGGCGGACGGGUGAGUAACACGUGGGCAACCUGCCUCAUAGAGAGGAAUAGCCUUCCGAAAGGGAGAUUAAUACCUCAUAACAUUGCAGUUUCGCAUGGAACAGCAAUUAAAGGAGUAAUCCGCUAUGAGAUGGGCCCGCGGCGCAUUAGCUAGUUGGUGAGGUAACGGCUCACCAAGGCGACGAUGCGUAGCCGACCUGAGAGGGUGAUCGGCCACAUUGGGACUGAGACACGGCCCAGACUCCUACGGGAGGCAGCAGUGGGGAAUAUUGCACAAUGGGGGAAACCCUGAUGCCAGCAACGCCGCGUGAGUGAUGACGGCCUUCGGGUUGUAAAGCUCUGUCUUCAGGGACGAUAAUGACGGUACCUGAGGAGGAAGCUACGGCUAACUACGUGCCAGCCGCGGC
rnacentral:rRNA from 1 species